UGUUGAAAGAAGGGCUUCGAUGUUAGGUCACAAUAAACAUAAACUGACCGGGGGAACUCUUGCUAAGACUAGGGCAGCAACCACCAACUGGGGACACCAGCCAAGUAAACAAGAAGCUGAGAAAAUGAUGAGAGAAUCCACCUUGGAUAGACUUUCUUCUUUAAUCAGAAAUCAUGAGAAGAAACUAGCUCUGGCAAAAUCAAGGUUCAAGAAGGCUGAGAAGGAUUUGGCGAAAAUAUAGGGUGAUUUGGAACCAGCAGACCCUCCAUCUGAUUUGGAGACAUUAACUAAUGAAGAGAGAUUUUUGUUUAGGAAGAUUGGUCUGAGUAUGAAGCCAUAUUUACUUCUAGGGAGGCAAGAUGUUUAUGCUGGCACCAUAGAAAACAUGCAUCUACACUGGAAAUAUCGAGAGGUCGUAAAGAUAAUUGUGAAAGGGAAAAUAUCUACACAUGCUUCUACUUCCAUCCGCAGGUUACAAGACCCAAAAGCUUGUUGACACGAAGACAAGCAUUAGCUCGGUCUAUUGAGCUUCAAAGAUGAGAGGCACUGAAAUAUCAUAUCUCAUAUUUAUAGGAGAUGAUUGAGUUGCUCAAAUCUGAGCUAGUAUGAUGUUUUAUCACUUCUUUAAUAUGACAUAGAAUUGUGAUUGAAUGUGGUUGAUAAGGCCUCAUUUGAGGUUGCAGAGACAUCAAAACCUGGAGUUAGAGUUCUAUUAGGCUAAUAAUGGUUUUUAACCAAUACAUGUAAUCAUUGGUUUUUGUUUUGUUGGUAACAGCAUUUUGGACUAUGGUGUGCUUAACUUGGAAGUGCCAACACUUCCUAUUGUUGGAUCAUUGAUAAAAUCUGGAGUUAGAGCUCUAAUUUACAUGUCAACCGCGUCGACACUUACUAACAACUGGAUGGAGUACUUUUGUGACUUCCAAAAGAUUAGUUGUUGGAGAUACUUUUGUGUUUCUGAGUGGAAACAAUGGAGAAUUACGCGUUGUAGUGAGGCAUCUCGCUUCGCCUUAGAGCUGCAUGCAUUUAUCUGUGAUUUCUGGUCAGAGCAUGCACCUUGGAGUCCUUGCAACUGCAUCUCAUGUUGUUGCAACCCAAAAUUUUGUUGUUGACUACUUUGUUGACAUUAGCGUCGGCCAUCCGACACAACCAUUUUUUCUCAGCUGACGUGUCAACUGACAUAUUUAGCGUCGGAUGUUUUGAUUUUGGUGAUAGCGUCGGUUUAGCGUAGGCCUAGCCGACGCUAAUAUAGCGCCGGAUGGUGUUUAGCUGACGCUAUUCAUUAGCUUCGACUGUUUUAGCCUAGGCCCGACACCGACGCUAAAUUACCAUUAGCGUCGGGUUUUGGCCUAUUAGCCUCGGUUUUGGGCCGACGCUAAAUCUUGAUUUUCUAGUAGUGAAAUGGAUGUUCCUUCCUUAUAUUUCAAGGUUAUGAAACUAUUCAGUAAGAACAA